AUAUGAGAGAGAGAGAGAGAGAGGUCUCCUUGUGGACAUUUUGUAAUGUAAGACUACCAAUUCCAUCUAAUGCAAAGUUUUGCAAGAAUUUGAUUAAAAUGAUACAGUACUAAUACUUUUAAUGAAUUUGGAUAAUAUAUACUGAAAGUACAGCAUGCUGGUACUUCAAUUUAUUGCUUUUCAAGUGAUACUGUAUAUAUCUCAUGUUUAGAAUUGUGACAAUUUCACAAGUAACGAUACCAAAAGCCCAAAACAUUAGGGUAAAUGAACCAAAAAUCUAGAACUUAAGUGCUUAUGUCAAUUUUAACUUCACCAUUCAUUUCAUCAAACUAUAAAGUUAAGGUGAUGGUGUCAAUUGUAGUCACUCUACUUAAAUAAAAUAUAACUUGGAGAGUUGUUUUGGGUAAUUUUGAUCUAUUCGUUGGGUAAUUUUGAUCAACCGUCCCUCAACUUGGAGAGUUGUGUCACUUCCUCCCUCAUCUUUAAUUUAUUACAAUAAAAUCUCUAAAUUUUAAUUUUAUUUCACAAAAAUCCAUCUAACCUACAGUAGCAGAUUUUUUCAAGUUAAAAAGAAUAAAAUUAUCCUUUUGCCUCUCUCAAAUUAGAAUAAAUCACCAUUUUUCCUAUUUUCCUUCUUUUUCUCUUUCUUACCUUUAUCAUUAAUUAAUAAUUAUUAUCAAUAAAAUUAUUUUAUUUUAACUAA
rnacentral:misc_RNA from 1 species